UACAGAGGUCCCGAGCGUUGUUCGGAUUCACUGGGCGUAAAGGGUGCGUAGGUGGUGAGGAAAGUCGGAUGUGAAAUCUCCAAGCUCAACUUGGAAAUGGCAUUGGAAACUACCUUGCUGGAGGUUUGGAGGGGGGACUGGAAUACUUGGUGUAGCAGUGAAAUGCGUAGAUAUCAAGUGGAACACCAGUGGCGAAGGCGAGUCUCUGGGCAACAACUGACGCUGAGGAGCGAAAGCGUGGGGAGCGAACAGG
rnacentral:rRNA from 1 species